rnacentral:lncRNA from 1 species
UAAUAAUAAAAAAAACCCCUCUCUCUCUCUCUCUAUCUCUCUCUCUCCCUCUCUCUCUCUCUCCCUCUCUCUCUUUAAAAAAAAUUUAAAAAAAGAAUUAAAAAAAAAAGAAAUGUGAUUUUCCAGUGGCAGAGGGAAGCUUUGAGCCCUGAAGAAGACAGAGGUAAAGGGGCAUUAGUAACAGAAGUCCCCUUGGUGGUCAGGAAUCCGCCAUCCUUCCACGUAGCAGAGUGGAGAGAAGUAGGUGGAAAGUAGAGUCAGUGUAGACGUUGGGGGAGGCCCCCUUUGCCACAGUGAAGGCUCUGAUGAGGGCACCAGGUCAGCCUGCUGAGUGGAUGUGUUACUGGGGAGGGGAGCGGCUUCCACAGCCGAGGGUAGAGAGACGGUAGCAGACCCUGCCUGACGACGCCCUCCUGAAGGAAGGAGAGGCCAUCUGUGGACCCUGUGCAUGUGGCCUGGAGCAGGGCCUCCUGUAUGUGGGAGGGGUGUGGAAGGAGCUGCCCCAGAGUCUCAGUGCAUGAGUGGGUGAGAGGAGGAGGGGGGAAGAGUCCUGAGGAGCAGGAGGAGGGUAGCAGGGUUUAAAGGUGAGCAGGUGUGGACAGUGAGACUGGAUCUCCCACCAGGGAAACCUGUAGAGAUCAAAGGUGACAGGAGUAAGGAGUGUAAGCCCUGGUAGGUGAGGAGAUCCUUUAGGUGACGGGGAGCCAGGAUGGUGAGUGGGGCCCCAAGGUGGGUUUCUUUAUGAGUAGAGAGGCUGCGGCCAACAUCUGUAGGCAAAGGGUCCAUCCCUCAUCAGUAGGGUCAAGACCCUUGGAUAGAUAGGCCUCAGGAGCAAAGGUUGGCCCCAGCAUGUGUCCGAGGACCCCUAGAGCAAAUCCCUGCUUUUCAGGCACCUGAAGGUGAGGUGGGCGUGUGAGCUCAGGGAGAUGGAGAGAGGGGCUGGAGGAGGCCUGCUGGAGCCUGGUGAGGGGCUCUGUAACGGAGGCAAUAGGGGUUCAGAGAGGGGGUCCUGGGCCAUCAUAUAGAGGUUAGCCAAUAUGGAGUAGUUAGGAAUCCAGGAUCUGAGGAAUCCCGCCACACCCAGAAAGGAGAGAAUGUCUUCCUCAGUAGAGGGGUUGGUAUGUUAGUGAUGAGGGCCUUUCUGUCAACCGACAUGGCUGUGUGUAGGGUCAGGAGGAGGCCUAGGUCUGUCACCAUGGCCAAGGAGAGCUGUACCUGGGAUGGAGAAGCCCUAUAGCCACGGGCAGAAAGGAAGUGGAGAAGUUCACAGGUGUCCUGAUGGCUGACCUCAAGGGGGGACUGCAAAGAAGGUCAUCAACAUGCUGUGGCACCACAGGCUGAGUGAGAUGUGUGGAUGCUAGGUCCUUAGCCAAGGCCUGUCUGAAGGUAUGAGGGCUGUCUCGGAACCCUUGGGGGAAACUGUCCCCAUCAGCUGACUCAGGGUCUGUCCAUGGGAAGGCGAAAGUGUCCUGAGAGUGAGAAUGGAGGGGAUAGAGAAGAAGGCAUCUGUCAGGUCUAGCACUGAGCUCUAAGAGGUCCCGGAAGGAGUGGAGGAGAGAAGGGUACAAGGAUCCGUUACCACGGGAUGGAUUGGGACCACGCAGAGUUCACAGAAAGGAGCUCUUGGACCAAGUUAGGCCUUUCACUGCCAAGAUGGGGGUGUCAUAAGGGGAAUGAGGAGGUCUGAGGAAGCCCUUUUGCACGAGGUCUUGAAUGAUAGGUGUAAGCCCAGGAGUUUUUGUCAGGGGAGCGGGUGUUGUGAUUGGGCCAGAACAUGGAGGGGGCCUUUGAGACAGAUGUGAAUGGGCUUGUGGCAUGAGGCGAUAGAAGGACUUGAAACAUCCCGGACAGUAGGGUCCACCUCAGAAGUGGGUAAUGGGAGGCCCUGGCAGAUGAAACAGGGGAAGGUCCUAAGUUCAGGGUGAGGAUCAGGGGAGCGGCUGCGAGUUUGGAUGGAAGCGUAUAUGAGGGGAGAAGGAAAGCGUAGCCCCCAACUGUGUGAGGAUGGCCCUUUCCAUAAGGGGAAGAGGACACUGUGGAAUGACCAAAAAGGAGUGGGUAAAAACUAGAGAGCCCAAGGCACAAACACGGCCGGGUGUCUGUAGGGUUGGCCAGGUUUACCCUCUACCCUGGCAGUCGAGGUCACAGAAGGAGUGGUAGGCCCUCACAACCCCUUGAGGACUGAAUGUGUAGCCAGGUGUCUAGGAGGAAGGACACAGGUCCACCUGAAAUAUGCAGUUACCCUGGGUUCCCGCAGAGUGAUGCUAGUGGUCAGGUGAUGGGGAGCUGGGCCUCGUCCGUCCUCUGCAGCCAGUCCUAAGAGUUGGAAAGGGGAACCAGAAGAGCUGGCUGACUGGGGCCUGCUAUGGGCUCGGGGACAGUCAACAGCCCAGUGUCCCUUCUGAUGGCAUUUAGGACAAGGGCCUGGAGGCUUGUAAGGCUUAGGACAUGGACGAGCCCAGUGACCCAUCUGACCACAUAUAAAACAGGGUCUGGUGGGUGCAGAGAAGACAUUCGGCAGAAUGGAGGCCCUGGUCCCAGGAUGGAAUCCAGAUUGGGGCUCGGGGAUAUUCAGUGACUGUGAGGAUGGCCUUAGGCCUGAGCCUAAGCAACUCCAUUUUAAAAAACCUGCAGAGACCCUCCCGUGGGCCAGUGCAACCAGGGAC